rnacentral:lncRNA from 1 species
AGGUCCCGCAUAUCAUCUUUCAAACAAGUGAACACCCGAAAGCAAUGUCGAUAAACUAUAGCUACAUGGUGAGGACAAUUUUGGAUGAAGUGGCGAAGAAAUCGGCUUCCAAGAAUAGGGGUCGAGCCCAUUCGUGGUAUGUUAAGAAAUUAGCAUCUCGAACUUGAAACCGACUUCCUAAAAGUGGCACCAAAGUGGUGUAACACCACUUCUUUUGUGGACCUUAUACCCACACUACUCUAAGUUACCCCCAAAAUUCACCUUUUUUGUCUUCUUGGGCAAAACAUCGACGAGGUAACGAUACAAGAUUCACCUUUUUUGUUGCCUGAGGUGAUGUGUGUCCGUUCAAGAUCUAAAAAAUCUGCACUUCGUCAUUUGUAAAUUAGUACCUACUGAAAUUUAAUCCUCAUGCACAUACACACUUUUGCGCAGCCGUAAGGAUUCAACCGGGUCGAAUUCUUUUUGUAGCGAAGCCCUGCGACCGUGGGCCUGUGGAGAAAUCCGGAGCCCAGGCCUUGCCUUCUUCUGAAUGCCGGUCUGCCGGCUCAGGCCGGAGCCCGCAUUGGGAUUAUAGGCACACCCUUCUCAUGGGCCGGCUCAACAUCUUGCUCCGGAGGGGCUGGAGGCCGACUUGCUUCCAAGACCGAAUCCCUGCCUGCCCUGCCCUAGGGUUACCGUCCGUAGUCUUUUCUUUCCCCUCUCGCACUCCACGUCCUCCAGCACGCCGCCCCCCCCUCUCCGCCGCCCCUGUCGAGCCCCCGUCACUCCGUCCUCUCGAGCCCAGGCCACGCCGCCAGCCCGCUCGAGAUGGAUCGUGAAGUCGUGUUCGCGUUUGACAUCGUUGCAGACAUCGACGACGAGGUGAGAUCUCUCGGUCUUUUUUGUGUCCCUGUGAUCUAUUCCUAUGGCGUUCUUGGAUGCAGAGCAAACACCAGUUUCUAGGGGAAAUCCACAAAAUAGCACUGGUUUUAGAAGGUGUGCAGGAAACAUUAGGGGGUGUUUGUUUCUUUAGUCCCUCGGUCUUUUUUGUGUCCCUGUGAUAUGUUCCUAUGGCGUUCUUGGAUGCAGAGCAAACACCAGUUUCUAGGGGAAAUCUACAAAAUAGCACUGGUUUUAGAAGGUGUGCAGGAAACAUUAGAAGGUGCUGCUUUGAAUUGGUUUGCCAGCAUUCAAAGAGCAUUCUUGGCAUUCCGUUACUGUGUAGUAUCAGGCUGCAAACAUUUCUGAAAACCUCCACUAGGAAUGUCUUAAGAUGAUAACUGUUAUGUGUUUUACAGGUCCCGCAUAUCAUCUUUCAAACGAGUGAACACCCGAAAGCAAUGUCGAUAAACUAUAGCUACAUGGUGAGGACAAUUUUGGAUGAAGUGGCGAAGAAAUCGGCUUCCAAGAAUAGGGGUCGAGCCCAUUCAUGGUAUGUUAAGAAAUUAGCAUCUCGAACUUGAAACCGACUUCCUAAAAGUGGCACCAAAGUGGUGUAACACCACUUCUUUUGUGGACCUUAUACCCACACUACUCUAAGUUACCCACACUACUCUAAGGAGACCUUCACACCGACACCAACACGGGAGACCAAUUUUUUACAAGGGAACCAAAUCUUUUAUUCUCCUACUCACAACUUGAUACAACACUCACUCUUACACUCUUUACAUAGUUAUCCUACCAUGACAUCAUUACACUACAUGGUAACCUUGCCAUCUCUUCACCUAUGGCUCAC